UGGUACUACAGAGGCGCGAAGGUUGUCGCUGACCUUUUUGAAAGGUCGUGCACGCCGGAGUGCUCUCACACACAAUCCACCUCACCACUUGUGCACCACCAUGCGGAGGCCCCUUGCUCUUGGCUCGCUUCGAGAGGGGGGAGGCUUUCGUCUUUUUUACACACACACAAUACAGUCUGGUAGUAUAGAAUGUGAUUCAUUUGCGAUAACACGCAAUCAAUA
rnacentral:misc_RNA from 1 species